GUCUGGACAAUGAUGCUAAGGAUGUGGUGGACAAGGAUGACCUGACUACGCAGAAGCAUCUGCUAAGCACAGAAGACAAAGGAGUAGUGAAAGGCUCAGUCAAAUCAAAGUCCAGCGAUGUGAGGGUGACACAACCUUUACAUGUCCUCGUAUUGCAACAUGAAGGACAUUGUAGCUGAAACUAACAAGGGAGAGAACUGUAGAUCUGCACCAGCACAGAGCACCAGCAUUGAUAUCGAGUUGGCCCAGCAACGGCACCAGUCCCGCCUGCAGGAGCCCCAGUCCAGAAUGACCCUACCCCUCCCUUGACUUCUAACUCCUCCCCCUUGACCUCCUGCCUCAAAAAGUCAGCAUCGUCGAACAACUCCUUUCUGCAGGAAAUUCUGAGCAUGAUUCUGUUCUGAACAAACGCAAUGCCCAUGUCACGUUUUCCAAACAUAAGCCUGGGUAGUUUUGUAAAGCUAGAGUUCCGCGUGGGCCUGAAAGGGACGAGUGUUACAGACACGAACAGUUAUAGCAGUAGUUAUGCUAACGCUAACAGUCAGUUGUUGCUGUUGGAAAUCACAACAAAUAUCAUGAAGAAUAAAAAGUUCAAUAACUUUCUCCAAUCUUUAUGGGACAAACAGAAAUUGAACGGGAGAAAAUCAAGGAACAAAUAAAGCGUAAGCUUUCCUAGUGGGAAACAUCUGCUGUUGAUAGUUUGGACAACAGUAGGGUUACGGACUGCCCCAAAUUGUCCUCACAGUGGCCAAAAUAUCAUAAUAGAACGGACUUUUGGCAAUGUUACUGACAAAGAAAGGCAAUAAUGACUUGGUUGUGAAUACCCAGAGUACGAUACAUCCAUGCUGACAAUGAAAGGCGGUAAUGACUUGGUUGUGAACACCCAGAGUACGCUACAUCCAUGCUGACACAGAAAGGCAGUAAUUACUUGGUUGUGCAAACCCAGAGCACGCUACAUCCAUGCUGACACAGGAAGGCAGUAAUGACUAUGCAGUGAACACCCAGAGCACAAUACAUCCAUGCUGACACAGAAAGGAAGUAAUGACUUGGUUGUGAACACCCAGAGCACGAUACAUCCCUGCUGACACAGAAAGGAAGUAAUGACUAUGCAGUGAACACCCAGAGCACAAUACAUCCAUGCUGACACAGAA